UACGUAGGCAGCGAGCGUUGUUCGGAAUUACUGGGCGUAAAGGGUGCGUAGGCGGCGAGGUAAGUCUGAUGUGAAAUCCCGGGGCUCAACCCCGGAACUGCAUUGGAUACUGCCUUGCUUGAGUACUGGAGAGGGAACUGGAAUUUACGGUGUAGCAGUGAAAUGCGUAGAGAUCGUAAGGAAGGCCAGUGGCGAAGGCGAGUUCCUGGACAGUUACUGACGCUGAGGCACGAAGGCCAGGGGAGCAAACGGG
rnacentral:rRNA from 1 species